rnacentral:lncRNA from 1 species
AUUCCGAAGGGAGUGGAAAUACAACAUGUACUAGCCCAGUUAAUCUUCCCUGAACAGAGCCGGUGCCCUUCCUUAGGGUGCAAAUCCCAGGAUGAAGGAAGCCUAGCCCUCGGCCUCUUGGAGAAAGUGCUCAUCUACUUCAGUGCAGAUAGCUCUUCUUGGAAGGCCAGGACUUUAGCAAGGAAUAUUUGCAGGCUGUUGUGCAAAUCUGCAUUGGAGCUCCUUUCACAUUAUGAUCUUAGUGAAUUCUUGACCAGAUGGACUUGAACAGCUGCCACCCAUGCCCGAAAAGGGAAACAAGCUCUUCCGAGAUUGCAGCCAUCUCCAGCCCUGGGCCGCUCUGCCGCCUUGGAUCACAUCUGGUCAUUUGCUAGGGCACCUGCAAGGCCGUGGCGCGGGAAGGCUCAGGGACUCCUGCUGCCUGGCGUCUCCUCCUGUGUGGUGGAUCACCGAGGCCAGCGGUCGCAGGAGUGGGAUGGCUGCUCUUACUUAUUCAGGACUGUGGAGUCUAGACGGAGGUGGGCAGGGUCAGACAAGCUGGAAGGAGGGCACCGGUGAUCGGUGGUCAGCUGGGGCUGCCAUGACCUGUUCCCUUGGAGAGCAAAUGGGACAGACUCUAAGAAGGGGAGGGCUUCCUGGCCUCCUGGAAAGGGUGGGGAGGCGCUGGAGCGAUAGUAUCUUUUGA